rnacentral:rRNA from 1 species
GUCUACAGCCAUGCUACCAUGAACAAAUCCGAUCCCAUCUGAUCUCGAAAGCUAAGCAGGGUCGGACCCGGUUAAUACUUGGAUGGGAGACCAACUAGGAAGACCGGGUGCCGUAAGCG